UACAGAGGGUGCAAGCGUUAAUCGGAAUUACUGGGCGUAAAGCGUGCGUAGACGGUCAUGUAAGUCGGGUGUGGAAGCCCCGGGCUCAACCUGGGAAUUGCAUUCGAGACUGCAUGGCUAGGGUGCGGAAGAGGGAAGCGGAAUUUCCGGUGUAGCGGUGAAAUGCGUAGAUAUCGGAAGGAACACUAGUGGCGAAAGCGGCUUCCUGGUCCAGCACCGGACGUUCAGGCACGAAAGCGUGGGGAGCAAACAGG
rnacentral:rRNA from 1 species